rnacentral:lncRNA from 7 species
GUGAAGUUGGAGACAUCAAUUAUGAAUGGAUGCACUGCAUAAGACCUCCCAGUUGCCGGGAAAGUCUCUCCAAAUCCUCCCUGCAUCCAAGGCUCCCCAGCAACUGUGGGAUCUGGUGGAUGAUGGAAAUGCUUUUACUCUACCUUAUCCAGAAGAAGCUCAGCUUCUCUCUGUUGAGAGGAUCAGUGCCUUGCAGUGGAGAUCAGAGAUGCUGUUGCCCUGACUGACAAGACGGAUGGACGUUUUCAGAGUGGAAGAAACCUUAAAUGCUUUCAUCCCUCUUCCUAUGCACUCUUGAAAACUGUCUUGAAAGCCAUGACUCUAUGUGGCAUACUAUAGUGCCAUCUCUGGAAAUCAACUCACCCAAUAUCCAGCUUCAUGCUAAGUCCCAAGCAUGCCCCUUCUAAGUCAAAAGGACAGCAGCAUAUAUGACCUUACUACAACUCACAUAUUCUCUUUCCAAGCAUACUCUAUGAGGAAUGUAAGCAGAAAUAUACUUCCGUUUUCAUUUGUUGGCUUGUGACAGCCUCGGCACUAAAAUGCUGUGCACUUGUAUGUCCCCCCAGGGGUGAAUGUGUGCUUCACACGUGCCUCCUUUCGUCAUGCUAUUCCACACACCGCUCAGUGCAUCUCCACAUUAACAGUCUAAAUGAGCUGGAGAAAGUCUGCUUGCAGCAAGCAUGCGUGUCUCUCCAGGUUGAUUAAAUGCCUGCUUUUUAUUCAUGGCUCCUUCCGCUCUGAUAAACAUCAGAAACAGCCUAAUUAUGCAUUCCUCACUACUCAACCUGUGUUUGUUAAUAGUAUCUGCGCAUAUCUUCACAUCGCCCCUCAGAGAUUUAGAGUUGGAUUUUCAGAGGUUUUUAAGCAACUUAUUCGCAAUCAUUUCAAUGAACUAUGACAAGGACUUUCUCCACAAAUUCUUAACGUCACCAAACCUGGUAGCUUGGAAAAACAUUACACAAAUCAUCUGAGUAUGAGGCAGAGAAGAAAAUGUGCGAUCGGCUGUGGGUUUUGAGAUUUCUUAACUAAAUUUCACAUUAGACAGAAAAGUAAUUCUGAAACAGAGUCAGUUUUCUGCUAUAUAACUGAAAAUUGUUAAAUAAAGUGUUUAGAACUAAAGUGUUCUGUAAAAUGGGUUAUUAUGAAAAAUGUCAUGUUUCAAUAUUGUCAGGAUUUUUAUCCCUUGUGUUUUCCUCUGACAAGAAAAAAAUAAUUGUCAA